GGAUGGCGUUACAAAUGGAAACAAAUGUGUGUCUUUUAUGGGUAAUAUGUGGGAAUCCAGCUGUCCAUGGCUUGGGGACUCUGCAGGUGUAGAUUGCCUGGGGACAGUCACGGGGUGGUGGAUGCUUGGGUCGCAGCUGACAGGGCGGAGGGAAGGCCGGGUGGGCAGAACAAUGGGAGUGCGGUGCAGGGAUUGUGGGAGAGAAUCUAGGCUGGAGCCACAGUGUCUGGAGCGCCCCUCCACUCCCCUCAUCCAGCUUUUGUUCAGCUGCAAAAGCUAUCAGCACUUCCUACUGACACCAACAAUAACUCCACACAGCUGGGCCCUUUUUAGCCUGUUUACAGCACAUCAAGGCUACUGUUUGUGCUGUUGCAACAUCAUGCCUCCAUCAGACAGAACACUGUGAUAUUUGUGCCAGCACACAGGCACUUUCCAGCAAAUAGAUCUACAAUAGCACACUACCGGAAGCCACGAAGGGAAAUGUCCAUGCAGGAAUCCAUCCAGAGGAAAAGGGACAUUCCAGCAAUGCUUUGUCACUUUUGCUGCUGUUAUUAUUGCUGCGGAGACAAUAAGCAGGGCUCGUACUACUUCCUGAAACAUGAAAGUGACCAAAGCAGAAUAAUGGCGGAUGAGAAUAAAUGGUUUCUUAGACAGAG
ensembl:lncRNA